CCUACGGGUGGCAGCAGUAGGGAAUCUUUCACAAUGGGCGAAAGCCUGAUGGAGUAACGCCGCGUGCAGGAUGAAGGCUUUCGGGAUGUAAACUGCUUUUAUAAGCGAGAAAUAUGACGGUAACUUACGAAUAAGGCUCGGCUAACUACGUGCCAGCAGCCGCGGUAAUACGGAGGAUUCAAGCGUUAUCCGGAUUUACUGGGUUUAAAGGGUGCGUAGGCGGUCGGAUAAGUUAGAGGUGAAAUCCCGAGGCUUAACUUCGGAAUUGCGUCUGAAACUGUUCGGCUAGAGUGUAGUUGGGGUAGGCGGAAUGUAUGGUGUAGCGGUGAAAUGCUUAGAGAUCAUACAGAACACCGAUGGCGAAGGCAGCUUACCAGGCUACUACUGACGUUGAGGCACGAAAGCGUGGGGAGCAAACAGGAUUAGAUACCCGAGUAGUC
rnacentral:rRNA from 1 species